rnacentral:rRNA from 1 species
UAUGUGAUCGUCUCUCGCAUAUCAAUAAGCGGAGGAAAAGAAACUAACAAGGAUUCCCCUAGUAACGGCGAGUGAAGCGGGAAGAGCUCAAAUUUGAAAUCUUAAAGGGUUUCCCUUUACGAAUUGUAGUUUAAAGAAGUGUUUUCUGUUGAGGUUUUGGUAAAAGUCCUUUGGAACAGGGCAUCAUAGAGGGUGAGAAUCCCGUCUUUGACUCGAGUAUUUUGUCUUUUUAUGAUACGUUUUCCAAGAGUCAGGUUGUUUGGGAAUGCAGCCUAAAUUGGGUGGUAAAUCUCACCUAAAGCUAAAUAUUUGCGAGAGACCGAUAGCGAACAAGUACCGUGAGGGAAAGAUGAAAAGAACUUUGAAAAGAGAGUUAAACAGUACGUGAAAUUGUCAAAAGGGAAGCGUUUGACACCAGUGUUGUUUUCCUGAAAAUCAAUUAAAGAACUGUUUAUGCUAAGCUGUUUAGACUUUAUCAGCUAUCUGUUUAGUUUUGAGCUUUUCUUUAAUGCACUUUUCAGUUAACAAGUCAACAUCAAUUUCUUUUGCUGUAAAAAAGCUUGAGGAAGGUGGCUUGAGAUUCGUCUUAAGUGUUUAUAGCCUCUUGCCUAUGCAGUCGGAGAGAUUGUAGGUCUGCAGCGUAGAUCCUUCGGGGCUAAAUGCAUUUGUGCUAAGUUAUAGCAUAUUAUAGACAACUUGUUGACUAUGAUUUGUCUUGUAGCUUACUCGCUUAUGUUAUUUUACCUACGCUUAGGAUGUUGAAGAUAUGCGCGACACG